rnacentral:rRNA from 1 species
AACGAACGCUGGCGGCAGGCCUAACACAUGCAAGUCGAACGCUCGUAGCAAUACGGGAGUGGCAGACGGGUGCGUAACGCGUGGGAACAUACCCUUUGGUUCGGAAUAACUCAGGGAAACUUGAGCUAAUACCGGAUACGCCCGAGAGGGGAAAGAUUUAUUGCCGAAGGAUUGGCCCGCGUCUGAUUAGCUUGUUGGUAGGGUAACGGCCUACCAAGGCGACGAUCAGUAGCUGGUCUGAGAGGAUGAUCAGCCACACUGGGACUGAGACACGGCCCAGACUCCUACGGGAGGCAGCAGUGGGGAAUAUUGGACAAUGGGCGCAAGCCUGAUCCAGCCAUGCCGCGUGAGUGAUGACGGCCCUAGGGUUGUAAACCUCUGUCAUGGGGGAAGAAGUAAGUGACGGUACCCCAAGAGGAAGCCCCUGCUAACUACGUG